UACAGAGGGGGCAAGCGUUGUUCGGAAUUACUGGGCGUGAAGGGCGCGUAGGCGGCCUUCUAAGUCGAACGUGAAAUCCCCGGGCUCAACCCGGGAACUGCGUCCGAUACUGGAAGGCUUGAAUCCGGGAGAGGGACGCGGAAUUCCAGGUGUAGCGGUGAAAUGCGUAGAUAUCUGGAGGAACACCGGUGGCGAAGGCGGCAUCCUGGACCGGUAUUGACGCUGAGGCGCGAAAGCCAGGGGAGCAAACGGG
rnacentral:rRNA from 1 species